GGCGGAUAUGAAGUGACUCCGCCACUGGAGACUAAGGUAGUGAGACUGCGUGGCCCGCGGGUCCAGCAGUGGGCGGAGCUCGGUUGCCAGAGUAACCGAAGGACGGUUGCCGAGGCGCGGUCGUCUCUUGCCCGGUACCUCUGUCCAGUGCUGAGAUCCUGAAACCAUGAAUCAUAGUGAGAGAUUCGUUUUCAUUGCAGAGUGGUAUGACCCAAAUGCUUCACUCCUUCGACGUUACAAGCUUUUAUUUUACCCAGGGGAUGGAUCUGUUGAAAUGCAUGAUGUAAAGAAUCAUCGCACCUUUUUAAAGCGGACCAAGUAUGAUGACCUGCGCUUGGAAGAUUUAUUUAUAGGCAACAAAGUGAAUGUCUUUUCUCGACAACUGGUGUUAAUUGACUAUGGAGAUCCAUACACAGCUCGCCAACUGGGGAGCAAGAAAGAAAAAACAUUAGCCCUGAUUAAACCAGAUGCAGUAUCAAAGGUUGGAGAAAUAAUUGAAAUAAUAAACAAAGCUGGGUUUACUAUAACCAAACUCAAAAUGAUGACACUUUCAAGGAAAGAAGCAGCAGAUUUUCAUGCAGACCACCAGUCAAGGCCCUUUUUUAAUGAGCUGAUCCAGUUUAUUACCAGUGGGCCUGUUAUUGCCAUGGAGAUUUUAAGAGACGAUGCUAUCUGUGAAUGGAAAAGGCUGCUAGGCCCUGCAAACUCUGGACUGGCACGUACAGAUGCUCCUGGGAGCAUCAGAGCCGUCUUCGGAACAGAUGGAAUAAGAAACGCAGCUCAUGGCCCGGAUUCUUUUGCUUCUGCUGCCAGAGAAAUGGAAUUAUUUUUUCCUUCGAGUGGAGGCUGUGGGCCAGCAAACACUGCUAAAUUCACCAACUGUACCUGCUGCAUCAUUAAGCCCCAUGCUGUCAGUGAAGGAAAUGGUGACAGAAAUGUAUUCUGGCUCAUGUGUAGCAAUGGAGAUUCAACAGACUAAUCCUACCAAGACAUUUCGAGAAUUCUGUGGACCUGCUGAUCCUGAAAUUGCCCGACAUUUACGCCCUGGGACCCUCAGAGCAAUCUUUGGUAAAACUAAGAUCCAGAAUGCUGUGCACUGUACAGAUCUGCCAGAGGAUGGCCUCCUAGAGCGCUGUGUAGUAGAUUGUUACAUCAUCGAUUUGGCAUCUGAGGAAGAGAGAAGUACAGUAACUUGUUCCAGAUCAUCCAGCCAGACUCCUCCAAAACGUCCGUUGGCAUGGUCUGUGCUGGUCCCAGAGGCUGUACUGAAGAAUCACACCUCCCGAGGCCCACUCCUUGUCCAACUGGGACCUCCAUCUCAUUCUUGCAGGGCUGUUUGCUAAGUUCAUAACCAUGAAUUCCUGUAACAAGUCACGAGGACUAAGAUAUUUCAUUGACAGGGAUGACAUUUUUGAUCACUGAGGGAUUCAAACCAAAAGACAGCCCCAGGGAUGACUCUAUCGGGCACUGCGGGUGGGUUGCAAGUCCCCGAUCUACCUCCUGCCUGACCUAUGUAGGGCCAACACUCAAGGGGACAUGUGUUGUCCUUGGAAACAGUAGCCCUUCAAAGGCUGGCUGUUAAGUCUCCUGAUUUUAUGAAACCUGUUUAUGAGAAAGGCUUUGUUGUGGGGGAUUCUGGAGAUACUAGUUUUUUAGAAAUAUGGGCCUUCUGUUUUGUUUUGAGGGUGUGGAAUUCAUGAAAUAGCUGGAUUCUGUAGUCAGCAAGAGUCAAUGUCUGCUUAGAUCUUUAGUCCCUCAGAACAGAGUGAUGCUAAAAGUUUCUGAGAGAUUCAGAUUAAAGCAUAAACCAAGAUACCUGCCUUGGCCCAGCCCUGUUUGCUUCACAGUGAAUAAGAGGUGGGUGCUAACUGCAGCCAUCAGGCAGAAGAAUAACAGGCCCAUUUUCCAUUUCUUGUCAUCCUUCUCAGUGUAAAGCCCAGGGGACCAUCGAUAACAUGCCUGGUUAAUGCUAGCCCAGUCUUUAAAAAGAGCCACACUUUCUCUAUGGAAUGUGAAACCAAGAUCCCUUUACUUAACUUGAUUAAAACUGUUCUUAAAUGUUCCUUGGGUAGUUUCGCUCUAUGCACAAGGUCCUUCAACCUGGAUCACCGAGGUAACUGAACUUGGACCUCUUCCAUGGGCCAAGUACACACAGAGAAGGGAGUGUUACCGAUCCUUUAAAAUGCCAGUCUGAGCUACUAUUGAGCUCUGAAAGAUUGUGAUAAGGGGGCUUUUCAUUUCUGAUCACUGAUAAUGGUUUUAAUUUAGGGUUGGAGCAGUUCUCUCUCGUAAUAAGUGCAGCUAGAGGAGACAGAGAAUGCUAUUGUUCUAAAACUGAUAGGAUUCAAGUCAAAUUUUGCCCAAAUAGGUACAUAGUUAAAAACUUUGGCUUCUAUUUUGAUAUACUUUCAAGCAAAGAAUUCUGAGUUUUAGUCAGCCAUUUGUCCCUUUCAUGAUUUUUACCAUAUUUAAGUACAACCUGAAAUUUUUUUACAUUUUUCUUUAAAUCUAUUUACUGCUAUACCUGAGCGAAUUAAUUUUUCUGCCAUAAUGGAAAGCUAGUAUUGCUUGCACUUAAUUAGAGGUAAUAAGUACAAGGAAAACAAAGGUUAUCAAGUUUUAGCAUGAUUCUACUGCUUACCAAGACAAAGGUCCUAAGCUCAAGGCCUGCCUCCCUUUAUUUGGGAGACUGACCUGGGGUGAAGACACUUCUACCACCAAAUUGCAAUUCCCAUUCAAGGAAUAUGAUGGCUGGAAAAGAGCAUUGUUUUUCUCUCUUCCUUAAUUACCUCAGUGCUUUUUAUUCCAAGUUGUACUCAGCCCACUUUUGAGAAACACUGCCUUUGGAAAAUCCAUUCCCUUUGUAUUCUGGGUGAGGAAGUAGCUGGAACUGUGUGACACUCCUUUCCUGAAUGGGAUAAAACUCCCCAAGGGAAGUAAACAUUCUCCCUAAACUCAAGAAAUGUGUCUAAGUGUGGAAUAAACCAAUCAUACAAAAAGAGACGUGGUGAAUGUAUACAAGCAAGAAUGUCAGAAAUAUCCAAGUGCUUAACUAUCCAAGUAUCAGCUGCAGAGGAAAAGUGGGUUAGUCAGCUUGUAUACGGACUCUAGUCCUUACCUUAGAAGAGUACUUUGCACAGCAGUGAUGGUGGGCAGACAGGUUAUGCAAAUUAUUCCCCCUAUCCCACCAUGACAGGACCCUAAGGAUCAUGGGGGAAAUGGGUUGGUACAGCUGGAGAGAAGGGGUAGGCAGAAAGCCGAUGUGCACACCCAUACACGGUAGCUCAGAUAUAAGGUGCACGGUACAGAUGGAAACCUCUGCAAGGUCUCCGGAUGGCCUCCAAAAUACAAAUUAGCCUCCAGUGUGAAUACUCUCCCCUUUUCACAGACCUAGUCCCGAUUACCUCCUUAUCAAAAGCAUCGUGUACGUGAGAUUCAUUUACACCCUGCAAAGUGAGCUAAUGUUUCAAGAAACCAUCUUCUGUUACAGAAGCGACCCCUAUUUCUGUACAGAUGUGGGUACCUUUCUGAGAAACCCAGUUUCAUGUAAGGAGACUGUUUGGGGGUUUUGUUAUUUCAAUUAUUGAGGAUGCCUAGAAACGUUACAGUUAAACAGUUGCUUUGCUACUUUUUAGUCAAUGAGUCACAGUUCCUCUGGUAUUAAUUCACCAUCAGUGCUGCUGUAGAGAGCAGUCUUUGAGUAAUAAUUAAAAAAGUAAAUAGGAGAGGCAAAUCAGAGUUAUAAAAGCGGAGUACUUGGUGGGAACCAGCACUUUCCUGGUAUUUUUGAACCCACCGUAGUGUUACAGAACCAGCCCAGGCCGCCCCCCAUGCUUUGUUCACCCAGCCAGAACCUCUGGGAACAAACCCCAAGGCAGAAAGGAGCUGCCAGAGCUAUGGCUGCACAGGCUUGGGGGAAGGUUUCCAUUUUCGGGAAUAUGAUGCCGUGAUUUUAAUGUGGGCAUUUCCCAUAUCGGUCAAGCAAUAUGAAAUCUUCAGCUCUAUUAUACCUGGAAAAUGUUUUUCAGAAAGCCUUUACUCUCUCUCACAGAAAGGCUAAAUUUUCAAUUUGGCCAAACAACCAAAAGGUUCAGUACUUCUUCAAGAUCUUGGAUAACUAGCAGUAUUAUUAAGUAAAGAAGUCACAGACUGGGGCAUUUAGACAAGAAUGAAUCACGGACAUGAGGAAUGUGUUCAUUCUUUUAUUGUCCAUUGUUUUAACCUGACUGAUACAAGAUCAACAAGAGCACUGUACUCCUGGCAAUUAUUACAUAUGUUAGAACAUGGAUUUGCACUGUAGACAACAUUUAACACCAGUCUAUGGGGUACUGCAUUGCUUUUUAUAAAGUUCAAAAUAAAGAUUUAUUUUCAAACAA